rnacentral:rRNA from 1 species
AUGAACGCUGGCGGCGUGCCUAACACAUGCAAGUCGAGCGGUAACAGGUGUAGCAAUACAUGCUGACGAGCGGCGAACGGGUGAGUAAUGCUUCGGAAUCUGCCCAAUGGUGGGGAAUAACCAGCCGAAAGGUUGGCUAAUACCGCAUAAGUCCUACGGGGGAAAGCAGGGGAUCGCAAGACCUUGCGCCGAUGGAUGAGCCGAAGUCGGAUUAGCUAGUUGGUAGGGUAACGGCCUACCAAGGCGACGAUCCGUAGCUGGUCUGAGAGGACGACCAGCCACACUGGGACUGAGACACGGCCCAGACUCCUACGGGAGGCAGCAGUGGGGAAUAUUGGACAAUGGGGGAAACCCUGAUCCAGCGACGCCGCGUGUGUGAAGAAGGCCUGCGGGUUGUAAAGCACUUUUAGUGGGGAUGAAAAGCUCAGGGCUAAUACCUCUGGGUCUUGACCUAACCCAAAGAAAAAGCACCGGCUAACUCUGUGCCAGCAGCCGCGGUAAUACAGAGGGUGCGAGCGUUAAUCGGAAUUACUGGGCGUAAAGCGUGCGUAGACGGUUAUGUAAGUCGGGUGUGAAAGCCCC